GUCAUGGGAGCGCGCCGCUGCCGUCUCCUGAAGCCGGAGGGGAGGGAGGCGGUGUCGCCUCACGGAGCCGGAAGCGACGAGCAGCGGCGGCGGGCUGAUAACAAGCUAGAAGAAGAGAAAAAGAGACUAUGUUCAGCUUCUUCCGGAAAGGUCAAGAUUCAAAGAAAAUUACAGUGCAAGAGAGAGAAGCAGAUGGAUUUGUUAUUGUGGGUGACACAGCUGAUGACCAAAAUAGAGAGGCAAAGGACAAAGCUUCAUUUCCUGAGACCAGACCAGUGUACAACCAGCCUCCACAGAUAUCAGAUACUUCAUGUGGCUCUGCUGACUCCAAUCCUGUCAUUUUGCCGUAUCUGCUGUCAACAACUCCAUUACCAGAUAGUCCAUCUGAAGAAAAAGAAAGGAUUCUGACAUUCAUCAUAUUAUUAUUACUAUUUUAUGACAAGUGGCAAUACACAGAGAUGAAGGUGCAAUUUCCAGAUCGGAGUCUCCGGUAUGUUCUCCAGCAGGAACCAAAUGGUUUAUUGUUUUCAUUGCUGCCUUCCCUUUGCUCUCCAUCUUCAUCCCUCUCCCAGUGAUGGAUUUUAAGUGCUGAAUGUGGAGAAAAUCAUCAUAAUGAAAGAACUGACAAAAUCUGGUCAAGAGCAGUGAUCCUUUUUGGAAUAUCCAUGUUUUCUGUUUAGCCUGGUGCUGAGAUCAAAGGAUCCAAAUGGUUGUGUGAGUGUGCUACAGCUUCUGGAUAAAUUACUGAAAAUGUUAUUGUAAAAGCUAAACCGAUGUGACCCUUGUUUUCAUCAAUCUUAUAUUUAAUCUUUAUAUAGUGGCUUGUGUAGAAGGUUCUUCUACCUCUAUCCUUGAUAAAAGGUAGCACCAAUUAAAAUUCUGCACUUAUGUAUAAUUCUGCACAUAUAAUAAAGUGUGAUAUUUUUAGUGUUGUUGAGCAUUAGUGAACCUGUAUAUAUGCAAAAUGGCUAUAAAACAUUGAAAUUUAAAUUGAAUAAACAUAGAUAGGAAAUUGUAAACGAGAAUUCUCAUUUGGGAAGUUAACCACUUGAAAGAGGAAAAGCUGUUUUACCUGGUAACUUGCAUGGAAGGAAUAUUCCAGCUUUUGGAAACACUGUGUAGAUAAAUUGAGCUCCUACAUCUUUUCUACUCCCAUGUGCCUAAUCGCUGGCGCUGCAAAAAUUAAGCUGCAAGAAUUCUGAUUUAUACACAUGUAAGAAUAAUAAAGCAGAUCUACAAAUGGUGUUUAAAUACCCACUAAUGGGCUAUCUAUCAGAGUGAUAUCAAGGAAUAGGAGAAAAGCCUGGGAGCUGGGAAAACAGCAACAGCAGGAGUAGAUUUCUACAUGCAUAAAAUACGGGAAUAAGAAUUGUUGAGUUUUUUAAAAUAUUUGUAGUAUCUGUUAAUGUAUACCAUGGAGUAACAUCUUUGAAAUCUGCCAUCAACUUCACACCUCUGCCAUCAUCUUAUCUGUGUUACCAGCUCUUGUUUUUCAAGAGAGGAUCUUAGCAACAAAUUUGUGUUCUUUUUUCCUUUCAACCAAUCUCCCACUUUUCCCUGUCUUGGCAGUUCUUACCAUGUUUUCAUUUCACUCCUCCUCUGUAUCAGUAACAGAAUAUUUUUCUAUUUGCCAUUUUCCCUUGUUCUUCACUUUCCUUUGUGGUGAUCCCAGCAUACAUAGAAAGAUGUCUGUUCCACCCAUAUUUUUGAAAUACACUUAAUUUCAUUUUUGCUUUGCAAUUUUUUUUUUCUUCCCCUUGAAUGUAACUUCUCAAAUAGAGUAAUGCACUGCCUGCAGCAAUCACCUCAGAUGGCUUCUUGCCAACUUCACCUUUUCUCAAGUCAUCCUCAGUUUCUACUAUGUGUGCUCCACUCAGCUGUUCUGAGGUCACUAUUAAUGAUGUGAACAAAUCUCAGGACUUCUUGCCUGCAGCAUUAUUGAUCCUACUGUAACUCUGAAAUCUUGUCCUGUCUUAACAGGAAUCUUUUCUUGUUUUCUUUUCCAAAUCAUUGCCAAUUCUUCAAUCUUUCCUUCAGUAAUGGAUCUCCAGCCAAGGUUUCUCUUUCAAAAAAAAAAAUCUCACCAGGCUCUAUUUUACCUCCAUUCGCUGAUUUGUGCGUUUUCUCAGGUGAUUUCUUCUGAUUACAUUAACUCAACUGUCACCUCUACAAUACAAAUCCUUGCUUUUCAUUACACACACCUGGUUCCCCUUGAGACUGAAAUGUUGAAGUCAAGAUAACCUUCCUGAAUUCUUGCUAUGAUUUUAUCAGCCUAUUUUUGUAUCCUUUCCUGGCAUUCCUCUCUCCUGUGACUCUGAAUACAAAUGGGAGCCAUACAAAUUAGGGCCCUCCGUUGGGCACCUGUUUGUAAUCUUAUCUUGUAUUUCACUAUGCAGUUCUUUGUUCUGAGCUGGCUAUGCCAUUUUCAGUUGCCCAUGCAUCCUCUCAGAAAGUGCUGCCAUUCACUUUUUUCACGUUUUCUUCUUGCAAACUAUACUCGAAACACGCUGUUAAAAAAACAAACAAACAAA